ACAUAACAGACCAAACCAAUAGAGUUUCAUCAUAGUAACUGAGCUUUGGCUGGUUGCAGAAAGCCUUAUAGCCAAUAAACUAACUGGGCUGUAAACAACUACCUAGGCAAGGUGUAAGUAAUUGGCUCUCUCACGAGGCUGCCGUCAGCUGAGUUGUCUUCUAUGCAAUGCCUCUGUUUUCCUAUAAAUGCUGUCUUUUAGGCUGGAGAUCUCAAGUCUGGUUCUAGGAGCUGCUCAAUUUACAAGUUGUGUUUUGCCCAACUUUUUUUGUUUGCUUUAACUUCUUUCAUCAAUGUUUUGUAAUUUUGAUUGUAGAGGUCUUUCACUUCCUUGGUUAAUUUUAUCCCUAGGCAUUUUAUUUUUUGAUAGCUAUUGUAAAUGAGAUUGCUUUCACACUUUCUUUCUCAGUAAUUCAUUGUUGUUGUAUACAAAAGCUAUUGAUUUUGUAUGUUGGUUUUUGUAUGCUAUUGCCUUAUUGAAUUCAUUUACCAGUGCUAAUAGUCUUUUGGUGGAGUCUAAAAGGUUAUUCUAUAUUUAUAAAAUCAUAUCAUCUGCAAACAGGGAUAAUUUUACUUCCUCCCUAUUUAUUAUGACUUUUAUUUCUUUCUCUUGCCCAAUUGUUCUGGCUAAAACUUCUAUAUUGAAUAAAGUACACUGAGAGUGGGUACCUUUGUCUUGAUCCUGAAAUGCUUUCAACUUUUUUCCAUUCAGCAUGAUUUUGACUGUGUGUUUCUUAUAUAUAGCCUUUAUUAUGUGGAGGCUUGAUCCUUCUAUACCUAAUUUGUUC
rnacentral:lncRNA from 1 species